GUCUUGCUUGCAAUAAUAACAAAGACUUGAACUGUGUCUCUUGAGAAGACUCACCAAUAUUACCUUGUGUGGAAAAGGCCCUUAGUAAUCACGCAACUAGGGUUUUAACAAAUAAUAAUCAGACUCCUCUUCUAACAAUACCCGUGCUUACUCAACGGGCUUGUGGACAGAUGUCCACAGCAGCAUGGACAGGAAUCAUUCUUGAAAGCACAGCUUCUCUUCAUCUGGGUCGGCCCAGUUUCUUCCAUCCCUCAGUGUAGAAGCAACAACCAACCCUGAUGCUUCUUACAGAGCCAUUCCUUGAAAGGAUCAGCCAGCCUUGAUGAGGAAACCGAGGCAUGGAGACCCCAGACACCUUUGCUUUCUUGAAGUACAGGAUGGUUGCUGAGCAUGGAUCUUAUGCCUGACAAUGUGCUGGACAGACAGUCACAUCAGAGGUGGUUUCUGCACACAAGCACUCCACUGUGUCCUGCAAGAUCUGCGGACAUGGCAGAAAGUGAC